rnacentral:lncRNA from 1 species
UUUAGGAAAAUCUGUAUAUUCACUAUUGCACAUCCUACCAAAAGGACUUGUGUCAGAAGUACUGUUUCUUCAAAUGGAUGAGACCGUAUUUCUGGAGAAGAUGGCUUCUAGGAAUAUUAUCUCUAGUUUCUUUAUCAGUUGCAGUAACUGUGCUAGUCCUGCACUAUUCGUUCUCUCCAGCUUUCUCUUUAAUAUAUAUUGGUGGAAGUGUAGAAAUUCCUAAUCUGACUUACACAAAUGAUUUCAAUGAUCCCAGCUCCCAGAAAUUCCUUCUGCAAGCAGAGGCAAUCCAAAAUUAUCUCGCAGAAUCCUAUGAGUGUUCCACCUUGGGAAAGUAUUAUUUGAAGUCCAUAGUGGCUGCUUUCAGGUAGGUACUUUUCCAGUAUGUGGUUUAAAUAUGAGAUCUUUAAUUGUGUUAGUCUUGUCUUUUUGGCGGAUUUUACAUUUGUUACUUUGGGAUAAUAUGCUAUGAUACUGGGAUAAUAUGCUUCAUACCAGGAAAUGGAAGACAAGAUAAAAAUGUGAACUAAGCACUAAGAUAAUAGUGUGAUCUCAGAUUAGUGAGAGA